UGCAGGGAGUCGAGACUCUUGUCUGACGAACCCGAGACAUCUACAGUAUGUUGCCUGGAGUGAGUCAACGUUGUUACUGGAGCUCCUCAUUUCGUCCAUUUAUUGAGGUUUUGGCUGGAAGACGGGGUAUAGAGCAGUGAUUGGCCGGUGGAGAGCAGUGCUCAUUGAGACACAGGAGGAAGUGUUGCCGGUCGUCUCUCACCUGACACGCUGUUCUUUAAAGAUGAUGGAUCCAAUUGGUUGUGUAGCUGCCGUGCUGAAGACCAGUUCGCUGCAUCAGUGGUCGUCAGCGUGGGUCACCUUAUUGGCUGAGGAUGAUGACUUAAAGAUGAAGGAUCCAACAAAUGACCCAAGAGUUUUCUGGUGAACGGACUCUUGCUGCACGGCCUUGCACCAGUCCAGGGUGGGGGUACAGUCCAAGAAAUAUUAUUCUGGACUUUGUGGUCAGUGGUUACCACCAAGCUGGACUGCCUGCUGCUGCCGCCUCCCUGGCCACUGUCCUGUCCUGGGCUGGCUGCUGCCUCCCUGUCCUGGCUGCUGCUGCCGCCGCCUCCCUGGCCACUGCUUCUGCCGCCUUGGAUGCCUACUGCAGCCGCCCUAGACACUGUCCUGUCCUGGCCACUGCCUGCUGCUGCCCUAGACACCAUCCUGUCCUGGGCUGGCCACUGCUGCUGCUGCCCUGGACUGCCUGCUGCUGCCACAGCCUAGACACUGUCUGUCUGGGCUGGCCACUGCUGCUGCCCUAGACACCAUCCUGUCCUGGGCUGGCCACUGCUGCCCUGGACUGCCUGCUGCUGCAGCCCUAGACACUGUCCUGCCCUGGACUGCCUCCUGCUGCUGCCCUAGACACUGUCCUGUCCUGGGCUGGCCACUGCUGCUGCCCUAGACACUGUCCUGUCCUGGGUUGGCCACUGCUGCUGCAGCCCUAGACACUGUCCUGUCCUGGGCUGGCCACUGCUGCCCUGGACUGCCUGCUGCUGCAGCCCUAGACACUGUCA
rnacentral:lncRNA from 1 species